AUGGAGGUCGAUUGCACGGGGCUCAGAUAUCAUGCAGCCCGUCGUCUACUUCGUCACGCCGGAGGGAUACCGCUCAAGAUGGUGACCCAGAGCCCGUCGUCGCACACCGUUCAUCAACUUCAUCAAGCCAGCAUCAGGAACAACAACGACAUGGAGCCACGACGUGCUACACGAGAAGAACAACCAGGGAGAAGACCAAGAGAAGAUGCGCCCCUGGCGACAGCAUCGGCAAGAUUGGGACCAAGAUGGCAGCCAGCUGGGAGAGAUGUGCCGACGGGGGCGGCGCGUACGGCGGCUCACUGUCGACUGUCCAAGUUCACAUGUGAGAAGACCAAUUGCGAUGAGCGGGUCACGGUGAACAGGUUCAUCGGGAAGGAGACAUAG
rnacentral:rRNA from 1 species